AUAUUGGACAAUGGGCGAAAGCCUGAUCCAGCCAUGCCGCGUGUGUGAAGAAGGUCUUCGGAUUGUAAAGCACUUUCUGUUGGGAGGAAGUGCAGUAAGUUAAUACCUUGCAGUUUCGACGUUACGGACAGAAUAAGCACCGCCUAACUCCAUACUUGCAGUCGCGGUAAUACGAAGGGUGCCAGCGUUAAUCGGAAUUACUGGGCGUAAAGCGAGCGUAGGUGGUUAGUUAAGUUAGAAGGGCAAGCCCCGGGCUGAACCUGGGACCUGCUUUCAAAAUUGGCAAGCUAGGGUAUGGCAGAGAGUGGUGGAAUUUCCUUUGUGUCGGUGAAAUGCGUAGAUGUAGGAAGGAACACCAGUGGCGAAGGCGACCACCUGGGCUAAUACUGACACUGUGGUGCGAAAGCGUGGGGAGCAAACA
rnacentral:rRNA from 1 species